UACAGAGGUCUCAAGCGUUGUCCGGAAUCACUGGGCGUAAAGGGCGCGUAGGCGGCUCAUGAAGGCUAUGGUGAAAGUCCGGGGCUCAACCUCGGAUCGGCCGUGGCGACUCGUGGGCUGGAGCACUGUAGAGGCGGGUGGAAUUCCGGGUGUAGCGGUGGAAUGCAUAGAGAUCCGGAAGAACACCAGUGGCGAAGGCGGCCCGCUGGGCAGUGGCUGACGCUGAGGCGCGACAGCGUGGGGAGCAAACAGG
rnacentral:rRNA from 1 species